CCAAAACAUUUGUCUUCUGCCAUCUUUUGUCUCUAUUAGUUGUCGUUUAUUAUCACACCACACAACAAGAAUAUAAAAAUUACAGCUGAAGUGAAUUUGUUGCGAAGGAAAAACCUAGCUAGCCAGAGAGAUUAUGUGAAUCUGAUGUGUCUCCCAAAAUCUGUGCAUGAAACAGCUUUAUGGCUGCGAGCCUGCAAUUAGAGGGCGUCCAAUGGCAAUGGCAUGCAUCAUUUUGGUUCA
rnacentral:misc_RNA from 1 species